UAACAAGGUUUCCGUAGGUGAACCUGCGGAAGGAUCAUUACCGAGUGAGGGCCCUCUGGGUCCAACCUCCCCACCCGUGUUUAUUUACCUUGUUGCUUCGGCGAGCCUGCCUUUUGGCUGCCGGGGGACGUCAGUCCCCGGGUCCGUGCUCGCCGGAGACACCUUAGAACUCUGUCUGAAGAUUGUAGUCUGAGAUUAAAUAUAAAUUAUUUAAAACUUUCAACAACGGAUCUCUUGGUUCCGGCAUCGAUGAAGAACGCAGCGAAAUGCGAUACGUAAUGGUGAAUUGCAGAAUUCAGUGAAUCAUCGAGUCUUUGAACGCCACAUUGCGCCCUCUGGUAUUCCGGAGGGCAUGCCUGUCCGAGCGUCAUUGCUGCCCUCAAGCACGGCUUGUGUGUUGGGCCCCGUCCUCCUUCCGGGGGACGGGUCCGAAAGGCAGCGGCGGCACCGCGUCCGGUCCUCAAGCGUAUGGGGCUUUGUCACUCGCUUUGUAGGCCUGGCCGGCGCUUGCCGAUCAACCAAACUUUUUAUCAGGUUGACCUCGGAUCAGGUAGGGAUACCCGCUGAACUUAAGCAUAUCAAUAAGCGGAGGAAAAGAAACCAACAGGGAUUACCUCAGUAACGGCGAGUGAAGCGGUAAGAGCUCAAAUUUGAAAGCUGGCUCCUUCGGGGUCCGCAUUGUAAUUUGCAGAGGAUGCUUCGGGAGCGGUCCCCAUCUAAGUGCCCUGGAACGGGACGUCAUAGAGGGUGAGAAUCCCGUAUGGGAUGGGGUGUCCGCGCCCGUGUGAAGCUCCUUCGACGAGUCGAGUUGUUUGGGAAUG
rnacentral:rRNA from 1 species